CAGUCGCCGCGGUAAUACGAAGGGGGCUAGCGUUGCUCGGAAUUACUGGGCGUAAAGGGAGCGUAGGCGGACAUUUAAGUCAGGGGUGAAAUCCCGGGGCUCAACCUCGGAAUUGCCCUUGAUACUGGGUGUCUUGAGUAUGAGAGAGGUAUGUGGAACUCCGAGGGUAGAGGUGAAAUUCGUAGAUAUUCGGAAGAACACCAGUGGCGAAGGCGACAUACUGGCUCAUUACUGACGCUGAGGCUCGAAAGCGUGGGGAGCAAACAGGAUUAGAUACCCCUGUAGUCCCUGUCUCUUAUAC
rnacentral:rRNA from 1 species